CGAAGGUGCAAGCGUUAAUCGGAAUUACUGGGCGUAAGCGCGCGUAGGUGGCUUGAUAAGUUGGAUGUGAAAUCCCCGGGCUCAACCUGGGAACUGCAUCCAAACUGUCUGGCUAGAGUGCGGUAGAGGGUAGUGGAAUUUCCAGUGUAGCGGUGAAAUGCGUAGAUAUUGGAAGGAACACCAGUGGCGAAGGCGACUACCUGGACUGACACUGACACUGAGGUGCGAAAGCGUGGGAGCAAACAGGAUU
rnacentral:rRNA from 1 species